GUUCUCAUUGCAGCAAACAAACUUCGCAGAAAAACCUGAGAACUG
rnacentral:other from 1 species